AGGUAACAUCGGCGUUGAGAGAAUCUGGUCUCGAAUCAUCUAAUUUAAUUCUCGGUAUUGACUUCACAAAAAGCAAUGAAUGGACAGGAAGGCAUUCAUUUAGAAGGAAAUCUCUCCAUGCUCUUAGCAAGGCCCCUAAUCCAUAUGAGCAAGCCAUUUCUAUCCUUGGUCGUACUCUUUCUUCCUUUGAUGAGGACAACUUGAUACCUUGUUUUGGGUUCGGUGAUGCAUCCACUCGAGACCAACAUGUGUUCAGUUUUUUCGGCGAUCACCGUCCUUGUUGUGGUUUUGUGGAGGCCCUCGAGCGAUAUAGGCAGAUUGUUCCUCAUCUUAAUCUAU